CUCAGCAGGAGCUGUAUUAUUGGUAAGGCAGAGGUGCUGUAGGAGAGCUGUGUACUUAAAAGCUUGCACAGACCUACCCACAACUACUCCUUGGUUCCUGUUAGCAGUCUUAACUUCUUCCUUUCUAAAGCAACAAGAUAAGAGAAGUUCGAAGCAUUUAUGAUGCAUGAAGAACCUUGCUGAAGAAGGGGGGAAGAAAUGGACAAAUGUAUCCAAAAGCAGCAGGAAGCAGGCUGUACUGAGAGAAGACUGGCACCCCUGAAGCAUGACAUUAUUGUGUCACCAGGCUCCCUUGCUCUGCACUCUCACUGAAGUCAAGGAGAUCUGAAUCCAAGAGCAGAAGUUGGCCUUUAAGAUUCACUUCCAUGUAGCAUAUGUUGCAACACUGUACACCAAGAAAUGUAACCAAGAAGAACAGUGGUAUUUACAGUAUGCUAAAAUUUAACUAUUGCUGUGGCCUUCAGAAGCCUGUGGGACACAUCCAAAAGACUGCCCAUGUUUUACUUCAUCUGACACAAGCUGCCAUUUUACUUACAGUCCACAGUAUGAAGUCUGGAUUUAUCAUGCAGAACAGGACUGGAAGAAGGCAGAAACUUAUUCACAUGCAUAGGAAACUUGGGUCUUUGAAAGGAUCUGACAACUCUGCAAGACCUUUCCAUCCUUGGAACUUAUCAUACUGGAAUUUCUACUCAUUCUCAUCAUAGUGAGCCAUCAAGUGCAUCACUGGGCAGCACACGGAGGUGCAGGUCAUUUCAGAAGAAGAUGGGUUAUAGAUCCUUUCUCCUGCACAACUGAGGCCGUGUUUAAGUUUAAGCUGGCUUACAGUUCAAAAGAAUGGGUUGAAGAUGGGAAAACACUCAACCUAAUGGUCUUCUAGUGAUAAGGAUGCUUAAACUAAUCAUCUCUGGAAAGCUUUCCCUGCACCAGAUGCAGCUAGUGAACAAUAUCAUUGCUAUUCUCCACACUACCAGCAUCUAAUCCAUGAAGCCAGGAAAGAAUGUCCAGAGAAGAAGCAAAUCAGCAUUGAUCACCAAGAGACUAGUUUCCAACAGAGUGGAUAAAUCUCCUGUCUCUCUCUCUUCUAAUGUUCUUCCUGGCCCAAGGCACCCUGAUGAACCACUGGCCUCCAUCCAACUCACACUGAAAGGAAGUCAGAUUCACAGUGAGAUGAUUCAGGGGAAUAGUCUCAUCAAUUGCACCCAGAAUGCUUAAUUUUAUUGCAAAGACCAACACCAACUCCCACUGCCAAAUCUGUCUUGCUGAGAUAUACAUGAGCUGAAGUUGAGUCUGAUCAUGUGUCAAGGACAAUAGAAAAUCUGUUUCAGCCAAAGCCACGAAAUAUCAGGAAAUACUGGCUGGGAGCAGAGUUAGGCCCAUCUUCCCUCUCUCACUGCACUCUCACCAAAAGCAGGUCCCUUAUUUCAGUAUUAGAUUCUGUGGCAGACUUAAUGUCUUCACUGAAAUGGCAGAGAAAUUGAGAAAAAGGAGCUAUACACAUCAAUUUGCCUCCAAAACAUGAGUGGGUGAUGGCUACAAGUUGAGAAAAACUGCUUUUUCAGCUCUGUCAUUAUGGGCUGUGUUGGCAUUGAAUGCUGUGGAAGUCUCUGUAAGCACAUGUGCAUGCUUGGGGUUGCAUGCUGUCCGGGCUGAUGCUGAAACGGUGCUGCAGAACACUGUUCUACAUCAGCUCCUCAAAAGUAUGCACCAGCAUUAUGCACAGAAAGACAGCAUUAUGGUAGAUGUUAUCACAGAGAAAUCAUUUCUCUGUUUUGUCCCUAGCAUCGCUACCACAUGUGUCAUUUACAGACUAGAGUUUCCAGGAAAUAACAUGCAAGAAGCCCUUCACCUUUGCAAGUGAAACCAAGAAAAAGCUACUAAUGAAAGGACAAAGCAUUUUUUAAGUACUAGAGCAGGAACAGAUCUGCAGCUGUAAUUCACCUCUUUUCAAUUAAUUUAUGUCACUUUUUUUUUUGGAAACUUUGUUUAACACUUUCAUUUUUUUCUUGGGUUUGGCUCAGGGUAUGCAGAAUUUUUUGGAGUCCAAAAUUUUUUCCUGAGCAGCACACAAGAAUCUAUUUCUUGACCCAAAAUAAAAUACGGAUGAAUUUUCUGACCAUUAUGAGCAUACUGGAAAGUAGAGAGCGCUCUGAAAAUCGUGGCAUGACUAAAAGACUGAUAUUUUAGUGAAGCUGAAAGAGAGCGAGUUGCUUAUGAAUAUAAUAGCAACUGUAGUCAUACUAGCAGGAGUUGAAUUACAAGGUCAUCAGUCCGCAGGCUAUGAGACCUUGUCAAAAGAUUCCACUAUUCCUAAUUCUCCUACCACAAACACCACAUCAUAUAAUAUGAUCUAAUGCAAUGUUAUACAAUAUAUAAUAUUUGUAUUACAAUGCAUAUACAUGGUAUAAUACUUAAAAACACGGGGAGAGAACUCUGGAUAAGCCUGCAUCCUUCAUAAGACAUGCUGCCAUUUUAAUCUUGCUCAUUGAGAAAAUUAUGUUUAUGUUACGACACUCUGAGAUUUCCUAACCGUGGAAGCAUGGGAAAAACACAUAAACAAGAAACACAAGGGGGCAGAACCUCUUUAAAUUGCUCUAGCACGUCAGGGAAUACGAUUAGCCUUUCAGUAUCAAAACUGUGGGGGGUCUCGAGAAAAUUCCAUAAACUGCCUCCUGGAUGUUAACAGCUGCAACC
ensembl:lncRNA